rnacentral:rRNA from 1 species
AUUGAACGCUGGCGGCAGGCUUAACGCAUGCAAGUCGAGCGGUAACAGAGAGAAGCUUGCUUCUCUGCUGACGAGCGGCGGACGGGUGAGUAAUGCCUAGGAAUCUGCCUAGUAGUGGGGGAUAACUUGCCGAAAGGUAAGCUAAUACCGCAUACGUCCUACGGGAGAAAGGAGGGGACCUUCGGGCCUUUCGCUAUUAGAUGAGCCUAGGUCGGAUUAGUUAGUUGGUGAGGUAAUGGCUCACCUAGACCGCGAUCCGUAACUGGUCUGAGAGGAUGAUCAGUCACACUGGAACUGAGACACGGUCCAGACUCCUACGGGAGGCAGCAGUGGGGAAUAUUGGACAAUGGGGGGAACCCUGAUCCAGCCAUGCCGCGUGUGUAAAGAAGGUCUAGGAUUGUAAAGCACUUUAAGUUGGGAGGAAGAGCAGUUAACUAAUAUUUAACUGUUUUGACGUUACCGACGGAAUAAGCACCGGCUAACUUCGUGCCAGCAGCCGCGGUAA